GAUGAACGCUGGCGGCGUGCCUAAUACAUGCAAGUCGAGCGAACGGACGAGAAGCCUGCUUCUCUGAUGUUAGCGGCGGACGGGUGAGUAACACGUGGAUAACCUACCUAUAAGACUGGGAUAACUUCGGGAAACCGGAGCUAAUACCGGAUAAUAUUUUGAACCGCAUGGUUCAAAAGUGAAAGACGGUCUUGCUGUCACUUAUAGAUGGAUCCGCGCUGCAUUAGCUAGUUGGUGAGGUAACGGCUUACCAAGGCAACGAUGCAUAGCCGACCUGAGAGGGUGAUCGGCCACACUGGAACUGAGACACGGUCCAGACUCCUACGGGAGGCAGCAGUAGGGAAUCUUCCGCAAUGGGCGAAAGCCUGACGGAGCAACGCCGCGUGAGUGAUGAAGGUCUUCGGAUCGUAAAACUCUGUUAUUAGGGAAGAACAUAUGUGUAAGUAACUGUGCACAUCUUGACGGUACCUAAUCAGAAAGCCACGGCUAACUACGUG
rnacentral:rRNA from 1 species